rnacentral:lncRNA from 1 species
CCCUCAGCACUCCCCAUGGGGCUCACUAACCUUGGCUACCUUCAUCGUUUAUGGGAGUUGAGCUGUGCAUGCUUGAGACUGCCAUUUGUUUCUUCUUGCAUUGAAAUAACUUGCUUUUCUCUUUCAGCAACCCUGGGGUUCAACAAUUUGAAACUGCUUCACACCAAGAGCAGAGAAACUCGCUCUGUGGUUAUCACCUCAGAGAGACACAAUACCCAAAACCUGAGAACAUUCGCCUUGUUUUGUUGGAGUCAACACAUCUGCCAGGUUAUCUGUCUUCAGUCAACAUGGCUCAUAGAAAUCCAUGCUGAAUUAUUUUUUAGGAAGUUCGGUUUUGUUGACGAUGGAGUUAAAUGUUAUUCGUGUUAAAGUGAGUCUUUAAGAAGAUGGCCGGCUGUGUUUCUACAUAGUUUUGACAUCUGUCUUCAUUUCUCAUUUUUCCUCUAAGAUGUUCUGCACAUAUUUGUCAAUUUCUGUGGUCUGACUCAGAGCACAGGAAGUGUGGGUACUUCUGCUGGUGUCAAUCAUUGGGACUGGAUUAUGUCUAAGCAUCUUCAACCUCACAGGGAGGAGCUUGACCGGAGAAAGAGGCUGAGAACUGCUUCUCUUACCAAGGACCUUCCCCAAGCCAGGCAUCUCCGGAGAUGGUAUGGAGCCUGGGGUAGCUCGGCCAGGCCUUUGAUCACCAGCGAUGCCAUUGCUCUUCCCCGUUUCGCGUCUGCUGUGGCUUGCUGCUGAGGCUGCUUUCAGACCUCUGGAAUCAGAAAAGGAGGUGACUAUAUCAGGUUGAAUGCCUUGAUGGUCUAGACGUGUGACACUUGCUGCAUUUAUGAGACUGGAGGUGGGGCCCCACCCAAGUUCUGCUUCCAGAGGAGGAGGCAAGACCAAGACACCAAAACAAGGUUCAGCAGAGGACACAUCUGGAACCCCUUUCCUGCUGGAGUGGACAGUGGAGGCAGCGCCACAGUGGAUUUUCAUUGGUGUCUCCCCUGGCUGCCUGGUGGCUGCCUGUCAGAGCCAGCGCUUGAGAACGUGGCUGCUAGUGAAAGUGUUUAUGUGUUUAUGUGACCACAGGAGAACCUUCAGGAGUGAGGCUAACUCAUCUGUGCCACUUAAUGCCGGAGUAACAAAGCCCCCAUCCACUGAGGACGGAGAGAGCAGAUUGUAAGGAGAGAGCAGAUUGUGUGGAGAGGCAGGGGUUUCUGUCACGUAGAAAGCAUCUUGUACAAUGUCUGACACACAGCAAGUGACCAAAAUGUGCCAGGCUGGUCCACCCAGUGCUCUCCAAACACCGUGGUCGCUUGCAUCUGUGGGAUUUUGCUGGUGAUCCUUCCCUAUUUAUCUGAGAUAAAGAAAUUGAAGAACCAUGAAAUUAAGGCACAUUGCCACAUCAUACAGUGGGCAAAUGCUGGAACAAGGUUAGAAUUCCCUUCUGUCUGAAUACUGUUUUAAAAAGUACUCCAA